rnacentral:rRNA from 1 species
GACGAACCGUGCGAACGUUGUUCGGAUUCACUGGGCUUAAAGGGCGCGUAGGCGGGGGGUCAAGUCUGAGGUGAAAUCUUUCGGCUCAACCGGAGAAGUGCCUCGGAUACUGACUCCCUCGAGGGGGGUAGGGGCAUGUGGAACUUCCGGUGGAGCGGUGAAAUGCGUAGAUAUCGGAAGGAACGCCGGUGGCGAAAGCGACGUGCUGGACCUCUUCUGACGCUGAGGCGCGAAAGCUAGGGGAGCAAACGGG